rnacentral:rRNA from 1 species
UGCGAGCCUCAGGCGAGACGGGUAGCCGGCCUGAGAGGGCGACCGGCCACACUGGGACUGAGACACGGCCCAGACUCCUACGGGAGGCAGCAGUGGGGAAUAUUGCACAAUGGGCGCAAGCCUGAUGCAGCGACGCCGCGUGAGGGAUGACGGCCUUCGGGUUGUAAACCUCUUUCAGCAGGGAAGAAGCGCAAGUGACGGUACCUGCAGAAGAAGCGCCGGCUAACUACGUGCCAGCAGCCGCGGUAAUACGUAGGGCGCAAGCGUUGUCCGGAAUUAUUGGGCGUAAAGAGCUCGUAGGCGGCUUGUCACGUCGGGUGUGAAAGCCCGGGGCUUAACCCCGGGUCUGCAUUCGAUACGGGCUGGCUGGAGUGUGGUAGGGGAGAUCGGAAUUCCUGGUGUAGCGGUGAAAUGCGCAGAUAUCAGGAGGAACACCGGUGGCGAAGGCGGAUCUCUGGGCCAUUACUGACGCUGAGGAGCGAAAGCGUGGGGAGCGAACAGGAUUAGAUACCCUGGUAGUCCACGCCGUAACGGUGGGAACUAGGUGUUGGCGACAUUCCACGUCGUCGGUGCCGCAGCUAACGCAUUAAGUUCCCCGCGG